rfam:Pristionchus pacificus strain PS312 contig2547, whole genome shotgun sequence.
UCUUCAUUUCACAUGCUCUCUCACCUGUCAGAGAGACGAGAGAGUGUGUAAAAUGAAGAGA